rnacentral:tRNA from 1 species
AAAUAUGAAGCAAAACUUAUUGCAUUUAAUUUCGACUUAAAAAAUUGAGUUAUUACUCCUUAUUUA